rnacentral:rRNA from 1 species
CCUACGGGAGGCAGCAGUGGGGAAUAUUGGGCAAUGGAGGAAACUCUGACCCAGCAACGCCGCGUGAAUGAUGAAGGUCUUCGGAUUGUAAAGUUCUUUUCUAAGGGAAGAAGAAAGUGACGGUACCUUAGGAAUAAGCCUCGGCUAACUACGUGCCAGCAGCCGCGGUAAUACGUAGGAGGCAAGCGUUAUCCGGAAUGACUGGGCGUAAAGGGUGCGUAGGUGGUUCAGCAAGUUAGUAGCGUAAUUCCGGAGCUCAACUUCGGCACUACUACUAAAACUGUUGGACGUGAGUGCAGGAGGGGCAACUGGAAUUUCGAGUGUAGCGGUGGAAUGCGUAGAUAUUAGGAAGAACACCGGUUGCGAAGGCGAGUUGCUGGACUGUAACUGACACUGAGGCACGAAAGCGUGGGGAGCAAACAGGAUUAGAUACCCCAGUAGUC